CUAGGCCAGUGAUGCGGUCUUCUCCUGCCCUCUUUUAAACAGAGAAAAAAAUUUUUCCCAGCCCUAGAGAGUAGGUCUUCCUUUCCUAUCUCUAGGACUGUGUUGUAAAUAUUUUAUUUUGAUUUUCUCUUUGCUGCAGGUUUGUGGUUUUGAGAAAAGGGAUUAUUGAAACUUGCAUGUGCUGUUUGAUGUUUCUUUUGG
rnacentral:lncRNA from 1 species